GACGUGCUAAUCUGCGAUAAGCGUCGGUAAGGUGAUAUGAACCGUUAUAACCGGCGAUUUCCGAAUGGGGAAACCCAGUGUGUUUCGACACACUAUCAUUAACUGAAUCCAUAGGUUAAUGAGGCGAACCGGGGGAACUGAAACAUCUAAGUACCCCGAGGAAAAGAAAUCAACCGAGAUUCCCCCAGUAGCGGCGAGCGAACGGGGAGCAGCCCAGAGCCUGAAUCAGUGUGUGUGUUAGUGGAAGCGUCUGGAAAGGCGCGCGAUACAGGGUGACAGC
rnacentral:rRNA from 1 species